AGCCCCUACGGGGGGCAGCAGUGGGGAAUAUUGCACAAUGGGGGAAACCCUGAUGCAGCGACGCCGCGUGAGUGAAGAAGUAUUUCGGUAUGUAAAGCUCUAUCAGCAGGGAAGAUAAUGACGGUACCUGACUAAGAAGCCCCGGCUAACUACGUGCCAGCAGCCGCGGUAAUACGUAGGGGGCAAGCGUUAUCCGGAUUUACUGGGUGUAAAGGGAGCGUAGGCGGCGAUGCAAGUCAGAAGUGAAAGCCCGGGGCUCAACUCCGGGACUGCUUUUGAAACUGUAUGGCAAGAUUGCAGGAGAG
rnacentral:rRNA from 1 species